GCACAAGCGGUGGAGCAUGUGGUUUAAUUCGACGCAACGCGCAGAACCUUACCAGCCCUUGACAUCCCGCGACCGGCUCAGAGAUGGGCUUUCCCAGCAAUGGGCGCGGAGACAGGUGCUGCAUGGCUGUCGUCAGCUCGUGUCGUGAGAUGUUGGGUUAAGUCCCGCAACGAGCGCAACCCUUGCCUUCAGUUGCCAUCAUUUAGUUGGGCACUCUGGAGGGACUGCCGGCGGCAAGCCGGAGGAAGGUGGGGAUGACGUCAAGUCCUCAUGGCCCUUACGGGCUGGGCUACACACGUGCUACAAUGGUGGCGACAGAGGGCACAAGCGAAAGCGCGAGCUCUAGCAAAUCCUCAAAAGCCAUCUCAGUUCAGAUUGCGCUCUGCAACUCGGGCGCAUGAAGGUGGAAUCGCUAGUAAUCGCAGAACAGCAGGCUGCGGUGAAUACGUUCCCGGGC
rnacentral:rRNA from 1 species